rnacentral:misc_RNA from 1 species
GAUGAAGAACGUAGCAAAAUGCGAUACUUGGUGUGAAUUGCAGAAUCCCGUGAACCAUCGAGUUUUUGAACGCAAGUUGCGCCCGAAGCCUUUUGGCCGAGGGCACGUCUGCCUGGGCGUCACGCAUCGCGUCGCCCCCCACAAUUCUCCGUAAAGGGAACGUGUGUUUUGGGGGCGGAUAUUGGUCUCCCGUGCUCAUGGCGUGUUUGGCCGAAAUAGGAGUCCUUUCGAUGGACGCACGAACUAGUGGUGGUCGUAAAAACCCUCGUCUUUUGUUUCGUGCUGUUGCUCGCAAGGUAAACUCUUUAAAAACCCCAAUGUGUCGUCUCUUGACGACGCUUCGACCGCGACCCCAGGUCAGGCGGGACUACCCGCUGAGUUUAAGCAUAUCAAUAAGCGGAGGA